GUAAGGGGUCUUCAGACUUGUUCUUAAGACCCUUGUUGGGGGAAUGUUAUGUUCCUUGGCUCAAUAUCGGCUUCAAGUGGCUAUGAGGACCCAUGCUACAGUCAUCUUGUAUCCCACGGAGAGUUUGGAUGGGAUUGGAACUGAACUUCAACUGGAUUACUCAUCCGCCCUUCUUAUGCAGGAGCGAUAAAGAGUUCGAGCAUGGAGUGGACCUUCUGGGAACUGAUCUGAAAACAUCCACCAGCCAUCCUCCCGCUGUGAGAUGACUCAGCGCUGUGGAUCUGAAAGGACGUGUAGCUGAUCAAGAAGAACCUCGCUGAGAAAAGGAGACGGACACAUCAAACAAAGAAGCUGGACAAUGGACUGACCGCCCCAGAGUGCAGACCUCAACACUACGACCAACUAAGACUUAACUUCGGAGGUGUGUCUGCAGGUUCUUUGCGAAACUGAAAGUGAGUCGUGAUAAAGGUAAAGAGUGACGCACUAAAUAUUGACCAAGUUGUGUUUAGUUGAGCGUUUUGUAUAAUUUUCUUUUCUCUGAUGCUGCAAAUUAGUAACUUGUAAUUAACCCUCAUGACGGAUGUUGUGUCACAAAUCACACCUUGUCUUCUCAGAACUCAGGAAUGCUUUAAAGCAGCAGUUUACCAAGCAUAUACGUAGAAACUGCAGAAUCUACCAUUCCUAAAAAUAGCAGCGCCAGCGUGG